rfam:TPA: Bos taurus chromosome 5, whole genome shotgun sequence.
UCCCUGGUGGCUCAGAUGGUAAAGAAUCUGCCUGCUUUGCAGAAGACCCAGGUUCGAUCCCUGGCUGGGAAA